GAGUGUUCUCUGCAGCAGAAGACCCCUUGCUGCCCUGCUUAACCCAGGCCAGCAUUUGCCAGUUUUGACCACUCCGUCAUCCAAGCACUCAUAAAGAUUCCUCUUCAUCCACCAACACAGCAAACAUGAAUAAAAGUUAUGGCACAGAGUUACCUGUUCAAGAAGUGGGGCGGAAGGGGAAGGAGCAAAGUUUUCAUCACAUCUGAAGUCAUCCAGCAAACUUAUUUCUUUGUGUAGUUGCUUUUCUGCGUGAUUGGUCAAAGACCAAAAUAAAGACUGACUGACUUGACUGGCUGACUUUUCUGCAUGAGAUAAGUCCUCAAAAUGACUUAAUGAAAGAGCCAUUCUUUAGUUCAAGAUCCCCUUCAAGACUGCCGUAAGCUUAUGAUAUUUUAUCAUUUCCAGACUCCUUAAGAAAUUGUCACUGAUGACAACAUGCUGUAUCUUGAAGUUAUUUAGGACUAUGAAAGACAUAAACAAGCACACCUACCAUGUACUGUGACCUGCCAAGUGCUUGACAACUUUUCUGUUUUUGCAGUCCUGGGCGGAAAUCAAGCUCCUGGUGGACCUCCAUACUUGAUUUGUACCACAUAUCUAACUAAUUCGACAGUAUAUGUUUAUUUUAUUUUAUAUUUGUAUUGAUUUGAUUUGUAUACCACCUCAGCCAGAUGGCUCUAGGUGAUCUGUGUGCUUAACACACAAUUUUACAAAAUGUUAUAAGCUGUGAAGACCUGGACUAUAAUAAGUUUAGGUGAGAACCACAUCUCACAUUGUAGUAGUAUGCUGAAUUGCUCAGUAUGCUGAAUUUCAUGAAUCAAUGCACUAAAACAUUUCAGUUAUGCUGAAUAGAUACAUAAAUAAAUAAACUUUUCCUUGAUUUCCUCU